CAGCCGCCGCGGUAAAACCAGCACCUCAAGUGGUCAGGAUGAUUAUUGGGCCUAAAGCAUCCGUAGCUCGUUUUGUAAGUUUUCGGUUAAAUCCAUGCGCUUAACGUAUGGGCUGCCGGGAAUACUGCAUAACUAGGAAGUGGGAGAGGUAGACGGUACUCGGUGGGAAGGGGUAAAAUCCUUUGAUCUAUUGAUGACCACCUGUGGCGAAGGCGGUCUACCAGAACACGUUCGACGGUGAGGGAUGAAAGCUGGGGGAGCAAACCGGAUUAGAUACCCGGGUAGUCCCAGCUGUAAACUAUGCAAACUCAGUGAUGCACUGGCUUUUGGCCAGUGCAGUGCCGCAGGGAAGCCGUUAAGUUUGCCGCCUGGGAAGUACGUACGCAAGUAUGAAACUUAAAGGAAUUGGCGGGGGAGCAACA
rnacentral:rRNA from 1 species